rnacentral:rRNA from 1 species
GGGUCAGUAGGUUGGUCGUGCCACCGGUACGUACUGGUCUCACUGAUUCCUCCUUCCUGAAGAACCGUAAUGCCAUUAAUUUGGUGUUGCGGGGAAACAGGACUGUUACUUUGAAAAAAUUAGAGUGUUUAAAGCAAGCUAACGCUUGAAUACAUUAGCAUGGAAUCAUGAAAUAGGACGACCGAUCCUAUUUUGUUGGUUUCUAGGAUUGACGUA